rnacentral:rRNA from 1 species
AUUGAACGCUGGCGGCAUGCCUUACACAUGCAAGUCGAACGGCAGCACGGGAGCUUGCUCCUGGUGGCAAGUGGCGAACGGGUGAGUAAUACAUCGGAACGUACCCUGAAGUGGGGGAUAACGUAGCGAAAGUUACGCUAAUACCGCAUAUUCUGUGAGCAGGAAAGAGGGGGAUCGCAAGACCUCUUGCUUUAGGAGCGGCCGAUGUCGGAUUAGCUAGUUGGUGAGGUAAAGGCUCACCAAGGCGACGAUCCGUAGCGGGUCUGAGAGGAUGAUCCGCCACACUGGGACUGAGACACGGCCCAGACUCCUACGGGAGGCAGCAGUGGGGAAUUUUGGACAAUGGGCGCAAGCCUGAUCCAGCCAUGCCGCGUGA